GUUUGGAAAUUGGUUCUUCUGGUUUGGAAACUGUGUCUGCUGAGCUUAUCUUUUCAACAGCAAGGAAAGUUAUAAAAGAAGAAAAAUGACUAUGAACUACGUGUGGGACCGGAUUAUCUUGGAUCUACCACAGAGAUGAGGAUUUUACAAAAUUCCACUGGAGUGGGGGAAAGAGAAGCUGAUCUUCUUCCUUAACUCCUUCAGCUUUUUGACCUGAUCCUCGGCCUGGCUCAUCCCACGCAUCUGACAAGACCUGACUCUCAAAUCAUCCGACCACUUGGUUCUAUUCACCACCUCACGAGUCUACCUGCCUCCAACCUCAAACUUCUACAAUCUGUACUACAGUCUCCCCUACAUGAUCUUUCUAAAACCUUGUUCGGCACAAUAAGGAAACUCAAGUAGAGGCAGUGCGGCUACCGG